GCUGGGGAAUGGUAUGGCUUGUGAAACUAGAGAGGCUCCAAUUGCAAGUCAACGAACAUCAAUCAAAAUCCCUUUCUUCCCCGAAGACACUAUUAGAUAAUGAGGACAAGUUCCUCUGAUUGCUACACACAGAUUCAUUUUCUUAUUUAUAUCCAGCCCCCACUACUCCUCCUAAUAAUGUUAAUUUGUCUCGUAACGUUGAGAACAACGCACUCCUUGCCACAUGGGACGCUGUUGAGACCACACCCCCUGAGGGAGAGGUAGCGUUCUAUCAGGUUGAAUUUAAGGACACGAGAUCCUUCAUUGCUAACACGCUGUUCAUUAAUCCAGGGUUUAGUUUCUCUAGUAUAUUCAAUGUCAGUAAUGCUCAGGGAUAUCAAGUGAGGGUAAGGACAGCAGUCCAGAGUACAGCUAAUCCUGAUGUUACUUAUGUGUACAGUCCAUACAGUAGGUGGGCCUCAGUCAGUGGCAUUAUAAUAGAAGUUCCUUCUGGAGCACCAACAAUAAUACCAGUUGAUGAUAAUAAUGACAGGACACUUGAGAUUGUUAUUCCAGCAGUUGUUGGGGGCAUUGUUGUUGCGAUAUGUAUUGUAUUAUCAAUUUUAAUAUUAUAUAAAAUAAAACCUCGUAAUUCUACGUCACCCAGUGCUACUAAUGAAGACUUUGACAUGAAGAAACAGCUUAGUGAUACUGAUGAUGCUGCCGAUGGAGGAGGUGAUGGAUCAGGUUCUUAGUAUUCUAACUAUAAUAGUAUAGACCUACCACUGCAUAGAGGCAUAUAAUAAGAACCAGUGAUUGAUUAAUGUUUUUAAUACACUUUUCAUGUUAUUGAGUACAUAUUUAGUGUCCAGUCUAACACUGUUUUGUCUUUGUUUGAUUUUUUUUGCUUCCAAAGAAAUUUUUUCUGAAUACCAUA